rnacentral:rRNA from 1 species
UUUAUGGAGAGUUUGAUCCUGGCUCAGGAUGAACGCUGGCGGCGUGCCUAAUACAUGCAAGUCGAGCGAACGGACGAGAAGCUUGCUUCUCUGAUGUUAGCGGCGGACGGGUGAGUAACACGUGGAUAACCUACCUAUAAGACUGGGAUAACUUCGGGAAACCGGAGCUAAUACCGGAUAAUAUUUUGAACCGCAUGGUUCAAAAGUGAAAGACGGUCUUGCUGUCACUUAUAGAUGGAUCCGCGCUGCAUUAGCUAGUUGGUAAGGUAACGGCUUACCAAGGCAACGAUGCAUAGCCGACCUGAGAGGGUGAUCGGCCACACUGGAACUGAGACACGGUCCAGACUCCUACGGGAGGCAGCAGUAGGGAAUCUUCCGCAAUGGGCGAAAGCCUGACGGAGCAACGCCGCGUGAGUGAUGAAGGUCUUCGGAUCGUAAAACUCUGUUAUUAGGGAAGAACAUAUGUGUAAGUAACUGUGCACAUCUUGACGGUACCUAAUCAGAAAGCCACGGCUAACUACGUGCCAGCAGCCGCGGUAAUACGUAGGUGGCAAG